GAUGAAGAACGUAGCGAAAUGCGAUAAGUAAUGUGAAUUGCAGAAUUCAGUGAAUCAUCGAAUCUUUGAACGCACCUUGCGCUCCUUGGUAUUCCGAGGAGCAUGCCUGUUUGAGUGUCAUUUAAAUUCUCAAACCAGCUGGGUUGCUCUUGCUUCCCUGUUGGCUUUGGAUGUGGGGGUUUCUUUUGCUGGCUUUUCAUACAAGUCUGCUCCCCUGAAAUGCAUUAGCUGGUGUUUUUCUUUUGCCUGUCUAUUGGUGUGAUAACUAUCUGCGCCAUAGGGUGAAUAUUUCAAAAGCACUGCUUCUAACCGUCCUUUUGGACAGCAAAUGACAAUUUUGACCUCAAAUCAGGUAGGACUACCUGCUGAACUUAAGCAUAUCAAUAAGCGGAGGA
rnacentral:misc_RNA from 1 species